rnacentral:tRNA from 1 species
CGGGACGUAGCUCAGCUUGGUAGAGCGCUUUCUUGGGGUGGAAGAGGUCGCAAGUUCAAAUCUUGUCGUUCCGACCA